AGUUCUUCCUCCAUGUUCCUUACUCCUGUCUCUGAUCAGCGUGGAGCCUCCGCGUCUACGCGUAACUCAGCGACCAGGUGCUGCACUAACGAUGUGCUCCGCAGGUGCCCUGGGCAACCAUUCAUCAGCUGGUCAAACCCACGACUCCAGCGGGGAUGAGAACAAUACAACGUUUGCUUUAUGCUAUACUAUCAUUCCUACCUUAGCAAGCCUAUUGCAGAGCCUGAGUUUGAAAGUAAGACGAGUUCACAUCCUAGCUCUGUCACUGGAUCUCCAUGAACACAGUGAUGAACCUAAACUGUAAGACUCAAUUUCCCCAUCUGUAAAAUGAAGUUAUUUCUAAAACCUGCUUCAGGGUCGUUCUG
rnacentral:lncRNA from 1 species